CUGCAUGAUGGAAACGGUUAAUUCUUCCUUCCAAGGAGAAUGAGUAUUCCUUCAGUGCUAUAAAACGAGGACUUUUCAGAGCCACCUGCCUUGAAGCACAGGCUGCGUGGUAGCAUGUUUCUCCAACACAA
rnacentral:snoRNA from 1 species